rnacentral:ncRNA from 1 species
ACGGAAGCCCGGUGAGGCCAAGGUCGAUCCGGAAGAGAAGGUUCGUUCUCCCGACCCGGGCACCCAGCACGGUUUCCCGGCACCCACGCGGAGUCAUAGCCGCGAUAAUGGCAGAAGUGUUGCGGGCCUGCGUAAUUGCGAAAAACGGAUGGCGUCGACAGCCCUUUGGGUGGGGUUGCAGUCGGAAGUAUCGCAAACGCGCCGAGGCCACCCACGCAGCCCAGAAAUGCACGCUUGGUAACCGAGAACCGUGUUGGCGGGCGGCGAUCUGAAAUCCUUCGGAUCGUCGCCCGCUUUGCAUU